CAGAAUGCAUGUUAGGAUGCCAAUACUAUGGUAGAAAGCAAUUACCUAAGGUUCUACACAGUGGGUCUGAAUCCAAAACCAUAUGGUUGCAAAGGAGACUUCUUACCAUACAGCCAUGCCAGUGCCUGAUGAUCUAAUUAUUGUUUAAUUACUCUU